rnacentral:rRNA from 1 species
GUCCACGCUGUAAACGAUGAGUACUGGGUGUCGCGGGUAUUGACCCCUGCGGUGCCGUAGCUAACGCGUUAAGUACUCCGCCUGGGGAUUACGGUCGCAAGAUUAAAACUCAAAGGAAUUGACGGGGGCCCGCACAAGCGGUGGAGCAUGUGGUUUUAAUUCGACGCAACGCGAAGAACCUUACCUGGGCUAGACAACGGUGGACCGCGCCAGAGAUGGCGCUUUCCCUUCGGGGACUGCCGGUUCAGGUGUUGCAUGGCUGUCGU